rnacentral:lncRNA from 1 species
GGAAAAAGAGAGGGCUGUCUCCCAGAAGGGACACCGUCACCAACCCAUCAGGCUGGCAUGCACUCUUAAAUCUACUGCCCCUAGCAACAGGAUGCAGUUCAUGUUCACUAAAAUGACUUACGAGCUGCUUGCAGCGGGCUGAGUGUUGACGCUGCUCCCUGCCACUGGAAAAAAAGAUAUGCCCACAUCCAGAUCUCAGGAACUCAUGGAUGUGACCUCAUUUGGAAAAGGGGUCUUUGCAGACGUAAUUAAGUUAAGGAUCUUGAGAUGCAGUCAUCUUGGAUUAUCUGUGUGGUCCCUAAAUCCAAUGACAAGUGUCCUUACAAUACACGCAGAGAGGAGAAGCCUGACAGGAGAAGCAGAGAUAAUGACUGGAGACAGGGAUUGGAGAGAUGCAGCCACAAGCCAAGGGAUGCUAACAAGCACCAGAAGCUGGAGGAGGAAGGAAGGAUUUUCCCCCGGAGCCUGCAAAGGGAGUGCAGCCCCGCCCACACUUUGACUUUGGACUUCUG